rnacentral:lncRNA from 1 species
GAAUCCGGAAGUCCCCAAAGGCUGUAUUUCCGAGAAGACCCGAAGCCACCCGAGUUCCCUCGAGAAUCAUCGGCGAUGGGUGAGUCAGAUACACCGGAACCUAUGCAACUGGGCAGAACUAGAUUAUCGCCUAGGGAACGUUCACAUAGACUAAGUUCCAACAGUUGUCUGUACUGUGGGGCUGCGGGACAUUAUAUAGCCACCUCCCGGUUAAGAGACCUAUUUCGUUAAUCUGCUGGUUUUAGGAAAUCACAGUGAGGCUAUACAGCUUCCUCUCAUUUAUUUCCCCCCCCCAUUGUCCUGUUGUGUUGGGAUUUUCUUGACUCAAAAAACACCCCCGUUAUUGAGUUCCAUCCUGAGUUGGGGUCCGUUCUGCCAUUCCCAAUGCCUCAAAGCAGCGCAGCAGCCUUCCCUGAGACGGCGUCCUAAGGGCUUAAGUCAAGCCUCGGAUUUCUCUGCCGUCCCAUGUCCUCCUGGAGGUCUUCAGCAAGGCACGGGCUACUUCUCUUCCCCCGCAUCGUCCCUACGAUUGUGCCAUUGGCCUUCUCCCAGGCACCACACCGCCUCCUGGUCAACUAUAUUCCCUAUCCAGCCAGGAGACCAAGGCCAUGGAGGAGUAUAUUAAUGACUCUCUGACUGCUGGAGGCAUCUGUCCUUCUGCAUCCCCUGCC